rnacentral:ncRNA from 1 species
CAUUUUUGAUGUCCGAUUAUACUGUCGGGAUAAUAGGGAACCAGGUGAAAAUCCUGGACGAUCCGGUCACUGUAAGCAGUUAUCACAUCUGUGGAUACCAUUGUACGAAAAGGCAAUUUUGCCUGGUGUAUGAGAAGGUGCAGAUUAAGGGAUAGGUUGGAGAAUACGACUCCAUCUAUCUGUGGGAUUCUUGGGAAUCCAAGCUGUAAGUCAGGAAACCUGCUGAGGAAUGU